UCUACAUUUUCCACGUCCUAUAUAAAAUACUCAAUCGUAUGUCAUUUAUCCUCCCAUCAGAAUUUAAUUGUUCUUCAAUUAAACUUAGUCUUCUUGACUGGUGCAACAAAGAAGUAUAACAAAAAGUUUGUUUUCAAGGGUUGGCCUAGUUUUGUCCUACAACUACAGUUAAUCCUUGAAUGGCUCGAAAAAAUUCUGCAAAUUCGGCCCUGGUCGAAUGAUCUAGGGCUUCAAGUUGUUCAGUACGCUCUACAGAUGGUUUCCUUAGGUCAUUCCUACAAAACAAAAGAAAACACGAGUUGGAGGUU
rnacentral:lncRNA from 1 species